rnacentral:rRNA from 1 species
UGGGGAAUAUUGCACAAUGGGCGCAAGCCUGAUGCGGCCAUGCCGCGUGUAUGAAGAAGGCCUUCGGGUUGUAAAGUACUUUCAGUCGGGAGGAAGGUGUCAAGGUUAAUAACCUUGGCAAUUGACGUUACCGACAGAAGAAGCACCGGCUAACUCCGUGCCAGCAGCCGCGGUAAUACGGAGGGUGCAAGCGUUAAUCGGAAUUACUGGGCGUAAAGCGCACGCAGGCGGUUGAUUGAGUCAGAUGUGAAAUCCCCGGGCUUAACCCGGGAAUUGCAUCUGAUACUGGUCAGCUAGAGUCUUGUAGAGGGGGGUAGAAUUCCAUGUGUAGCGGUGAAAUGCGUAGAGAUGUGGAGGAAUACCGGUGGCGAAGGCGGCCCCCUGGACAAAGACUGACGCUCAGGUGCGAAAGCGUGGGGAGCAAACAGG